rnacentral:rRNA from 1 species
UACAGAGGGUGCGAGCGUUGUCCGGAAUUACUGGGCGUAAAGCGCGUGUAGGCGGCUAAGUAAGUCGGGCGUGAAAUCCCACGGCUCAACCGUGGAAGUGCACUCGAAACUGCAUAGCUAGAGUCCUGGAGAGGAAGGUGGAAUGCUUGGUGUAGAGGUGAAAUUCGUAGAUAUCAAGCGGAACACCUGUGGUGUAGACGGCUUUCUGGACCAUAGCUGACGCUGAGACACGAAAGCGUGGGUAGCAAACAGG